AAAAGAUGUAAGAUCUGCGUGUAUGCCUUUGGUUUGAUUUUCUGUUUGUUUGUUUUUUCACUUUAUUUUAAAAAAGGUGUUCCUUGACAAGAGGAUAGCAAGUCAACAUGAGCACAUCUUUUUACGGGCUGUGUGGAAAGAAGACGAGGCGCCGAUAGGCAUAACUUAGCCCUUGAUUAUGGUCAUUAUAUAAACCGAAUUACUAACAAAAGUUUGUUUGGUAACUAAUUAUAGCUCACUAAAUCUCUGCCUCUCUUCACUUCAGCAUAAUGUAUACAAACUUUUGUACACGCGGAUCAGAAUAAAACAAAGUGUUGACAGCAUCCAGCAGUGGAAAUUCACUUACACAAGACUUUUUUUUCACUGAAGUGUUGACAAUAAACAUUUAAUGAAGGCAGAGACUUGGAUGUCUCCAGACAGUGUCAGAAUACUUUAAACAGACCAUUAGCAUGGCUUCUUCUACUUCAAACAGAGCACACUAUACCAUAACAUUAUAAAAAUACAAAGUAUGAAACAAAUAAUCUGUUUAUACAGAUAUUUUAAGCUGUUUUCACCAGCUCUGACAUCCCCUGUAUUUAGUAACAGAAACUUACUCAUUUCAGAUUACUCGCGCUUAAAAAAUGUUAAAUACAGUUAAUGCAAUAUUAAUCGCCCUUUGGUGAUAUAAAAUGCAAUAUUUUCAGGCAGCUAUUGAGCUUUUCUAGAGGAAGAGCUGAUGAAAACAGUCACAGCUGAAUAGUGGAGAGAAAAAAGCUCUGUAUUUAUUGCUUUUGUUUGGCUUUUGGCUACAGAGACAGGAACAUUCUAAUGGGGGCAUAUGAUGACCUCAUGAACCACCCUUUAGACUUCCAGUGCUUCUGGCUUUAAUAUUCUGUGCUAGAUUCACAGAGCUCUUCUACAGAUGCUAAGCGUUCAAUCCUGAAGGCUCCACUUCAUCAUCAGAAUGAGUAGGUAAAGUUCUGAAUGUCAAAGCUGUGCUACCCUCAAAUUCAUCUUCCAUGAAUAUUCAAGGAUUUCAGAGGGAAAGGAAGGUAUGCUUUACCAAAUUUAGGUGUUUCAAGACAUUUCUAAAGCCUGAAGAAUUCAACACUUUGCAGAAACACUUCUGGAUCAUCUGUGCUAAAAGUUCAUUCAUACCAAGAUUUCAAGCAGGUAAGAGAUUUCUCUUACUCCCCUUUU
rnacentral:lncRNA from 1 species